AGUGAACGCUGGCGGCAGGCCUAACACAUGCAAGUCGAGCGGCAGCGCGGGGGCAACCCUGGCGGCGAGCGGCGGACGGGUGAGGAAUUCGUCGGAAUCUGCCUUUUUGUGGGGGAUAACGUAGGGAAACUUACGCUAAUACCGCAUACGUCCUACGGGAGAAAGUGGGGGACCGCAAGGCCUCACGCAGAAAGAUGAGCCGACGACCGAUUAGCUAGUUGGUGGGGUAAAGGCCCACCAAGGCGACGAUCGGUAGCUGGUCUGAGAGGAUGAUCAGCCACACGGGGACUGAGACACGGCCCAGACUCCUACGGGAGGCAGCAGUGGGGAAUAUUGGACAGAGGGCGCAAGCCUGAUCCAGCCAUGCCGCGUGUGUGAAGAAGGCCUUCGGGUUGUAAAGCACUUUUGUCCGGAAAGAAAUCCCUGGAGCUAAUACCUUCGGGGGAUGACGGUACCGGAAGAAUAAGCACCGGCUAACUUCGUG
rnacentral:rRNA from 1 species